AAUUAUAGUUUAAAUAAUAUUUGUAUGUAUUAAGUCUCUCUAUCUCUCUCUGCUAUAGCUUUUUGUCUAAGAGUAUAGAGCUUUUUCACCCAUUUAUCAAAUCUUGCCUCUUGAUCCAUCAUAAUCUAAGGAAUAAAACGAACAUUAUCUGUUUAUAAUCUGAUUACAAAAUAUUAAGAAAUUCAAAGUUACAGACGAGAACUUACUGAUGUGUGAAAUAUACUUUCUAGACCGCUAGGAAUAUUAGAUGAAGUAAAUUGUUUUGGAGUGAAACCUUCAGCAUUUAUUUCCUCAAGUACACCAUCUUUAAAACGUGGCUCAAUAGGAAAAUCAUCUGUAAACCAACAUUAAUUUGUAUUUAUUACCUUCUAAACUCACAUUAAAUUCAGAUUUUUUACAAUGUCAA